rnacentral:rRNA from 1 species
UACGUAGGGUGCGAGCGUUGUCCGGAAUUACUGGGCGUAAAGAGCUCGUAGGUGGUUUGUCGCGUUGUUCGUGAAAUCUCACGGCUUAACUGUGAGCGUGCGGGCGAUACGGGCAGACUAGAGUACUGCAGGGGAGACUGGAAUUCCUGGUGUAGCGGUGGAAUGCGCAGAUAUCAGGAGGAACACCGGUGGCGAAGGCGGGUCUCUGGGCAGUAACUGACGCUGAGGAGCGAAAGCGUGGGAGCGAACAGG